CCUACGGGCGGCAGCAGUGGGGAAUAUUGGGCAAUGGGCGCAAGCCUGACCCAGCAACGCCGCGUGAAGGAAGAAGGCUUUCGGGUUGUAAACUUCUUUUCUCAGUGACGAAGCAAGUGACGGUACCUGAGGAAUAAGCCACGGCUAACUACGUGCCAGCAGCCGCGGUAAUACGUAGGUGGCAAGCGUUAUCCGGAUUUACUGGGUGUAAAGGGCGUGUAGGCGGGAAAGCAAGUCAGAUGUGAAAACCAUGGGCUCAACCUGUGGCCUGCAUUUGAAACUGUUUUUCUUGAGUACUGGAGAGGCAGACGGAAUUCCUAGUGUAGCGGUGAAAUGCGGAGAUAUUAGGAGGAACACCAGUGGCGAAGGCGGUCUGCUGGACAGCAACUGACGCUGAGGCGCGAAAGCGUGGGGAGCAAACAGGAUUAGAUACCCUAGUAGUC
rnacentral:rRNA from 1 species